rnacentral:lncRNA from 1 species
AUGACUUCUCUGUCUCAGAGAAAUUGUAAAGCACAGCCAUUUGAAGGUAUUAGGUGGUUGGUCUCAGGAAGGAGCAGCAUGACCCAGGUGACAGUCAGAGCUUUCCCAAGUCCUGUCUUUAUCUGCCUCUUCACCAGCAACAAGCUGGAGUCUGGCUGGCCAUCAGAGUCCAGGCACCUAACGCAUUCCAAGACCACCUUGACUUCAUUUCCAGAUGCCCCAGAGUGAAGCCAAUCCUCAAAAAACAGCCAACUUAGUCUGUAUUGUCUUCCACUGUUCUAAUUAAACUGUUCUAAUUAAAUUUCUCACCACCUCAGAGCAUGUGCUCUGGGAGUCAGAUUUAAUUUGAUUGAUUAAAAUAAUGUGCUGUUGAGUGAAAUUUAUAUCUGUUUCGUUAAGUUUGUCUAUACAUGGUUCAUGCAGAAGCCUGACCAGGAGAGGGCUUUUCCCUUCACUCUCUUCUCAUAAGCACAGGCCAUGGAGCUCCCUGCUCCAGCUGCUUCAGGGAAACCUGAACAGAAACCAAAGAGAGAAGUGAAGCAGCAGCAACAGCUGGGCCAGGGAUGGAGGAGGAGAGCCAAAAAGACCUGAGGGACCGGGGAGGCAGGAGGAGAGGGAGGGAAAUCAGAGAGGAGGGACAAGGGUAGACUCAAGGGGCAGAGCUGAGAACUCUUCUACUAUUCUCUGGAUUUUGUGUUUAGCCUGAGCACCUCAUCGUAAGAUUUUCCGUCUGCUAAUGGACAAGGGCUUCCCACCCUUACAGCCAUUAGGGUGACACCGGGUCACCUGACAACUCCUAGAGCCAGGAGGGUGGGGUCUACUGUCAGGUCAAUCCAUUGCUUCCUUCUAUGUGUUGGCCUUCUUCUCUCUUCCUUAAUUUGGCCCUUUUAACUCAGUGGGAGGAAAGUCACUCUUUCCAUAUCCAUUUUAUAAUCCCAGGGAAGGAUUCUGAUUGACCUUCUGGUAAUCCAGAAACAAUAGCUCCCAAAGUCCACUAACCACAGUGAGGACAAUGCCAUGGGCAGUAUGGGAGGUUGUGGGAAAUACAGUGAGUGAAAUAGUGCAGUACCAGAUAACGGAGGCUGAGGAGUGUUAGCUGUUAGUGGUACAGAGCAGGGAGCAAUGGAAAGUUCUAAUCAGAGGAAGGCCAUGAUAAAAUGGUUCUAAGGAAGCUCAUCUUGAUAGAAGUAUAUAGGUUUUAUUAGAGGGAGAAAUAAUCAGAGAUCCAUAUGCAAAAAAUGAAUCUUGACCCAUACUUCUCACUUUGUAUAAAAAUUAACUUAAAAUGGAUUACUAAAAAAAGACCUAAAUGUAAAACCUAAAACUAUAAUCUUCUAGAAGAAAACAUAGAAAAAAAACCUUUGUGUUAUGCAAGCAUUUCUUAGCUAAGACACCAAAAACAAGAUCCAUAAAAGAAAAAAUGGAUAAAUUGGAUUUAGUCAAAAUAAAACAUUUCUGCUCUGCA